rnacentral:rRNA from 1 species
CCUACGGGUGGCAGCAGUGAGGAAUAUUGGUCAAUGGGCGGAAGCCUGAACCAGCCAUGCCGCGUGCAGGAUGACGGCCCUAUGGGUUGUAAACUGCUUUUAUACGGGAGUAAACCCCCUUACGCGUAGCUCUCUGCAAGUACCGUACGAAUAAGGAUCGGCUAACUCCGUGCCAGCAGCCGCGGUAAUACGGAGGAUUCGGGCGUUAUCCGGAUUUAUUGGGUUUAAAGGGAGCGUAGGCGGUUUGAUAAGCGAGCUGUGAAAUCCCCGGGCUCAACUUCGGAAUUGCAGCUGAGACUGGUGGGCUAGAGAGUAGGUGAGGUAGGCGGAAUGCAUGGUGUAGCGGUGAAAUGCUUAGAUAUGAGACAGAACACCGAUUGCGAAGGCAGCUUACCAAGCUACUGCUGACGCUGAUGCACGAAAGCGUGGGGAGCAAACAGGAUUAGAUACCCGAGUAGUC